GACUCCUACGGGAGGCAGCAGUGGGGAAUAUUGGGCAAUGGGCGCAAGCCUGACCCAGCAACGCCGCGUGAGGGAAGAAGGCCUUCGGGUUGUAAACCACUUUUGAGCGAAAUUGACGGUACCUGAGGAAUAAGCACCGGCUAACUACGUGCCAGCAGCCGCGGUAAUACGUAGGGUGCGAGCGUUAAUCGGAAUUACUGGGCGUAAAGCGUGCGCAGGCGGUUUGCUAAGACCGAUGUGAAAUCCCCGGGCUCAACCUGGGAACUGCAUUGGUGACUGGCAGGCUAGAGUAUGGCAGAGGGGGGUAGAAUUCCACGUGUAGCAGUGAAAUGCGUAGAGAUGUGGAGGAAUACCGAUGGCGAAGGCAGCCCCCUGGGCCAAUACUGACGCUCAUGCACGAAAGCGUGGGGAGCAAACAGGAUUAGAUACCCUGGUAGUCCACGCCCUAAACGAUGUCAACUAGUUGUUGGGGAUUCAUUUCCUUAGUAACGUAGCUAACGCGUGAAGUUGACCGCCUGGGGAGUACGGUCGCAAGAUUAAAACU
rnacentral:rRNA from 2 species